GAUGAAGAACGUAGCGAAAUGCGAUACGUAAUGUGAAUUGCAGAAUUCAGUGAAUCAUCGAGUCUUUGAACGCACAUUGCGCCCCCUGGUAUUCCGGGGGGCAUGCCUGUCCGAGCGUCAUUUCAACCAUCAAGCCCCAGGCUUGUGUUGGGGACCUGCGGCUGCCGCAGGCCCUGAAAACCAGUGGCGGGCUCGCUAGUCACACCGAGCGUAGUAGCAUACACAUCGCUCAGGGCGUGCUGCGGGUUCCGGCCGUUAAACCCCUUUUUUACCCAAGGUUGACCUCGGAUCAGGUAGGAAGACCCGCUGAACUUAAGCAUAUCAAUAAGCGGAGGA
rnacentral:misc_RNA from 1 species